rnacentral:rRNA from 1 species
AUGGAGGCCUCGGAGGCGAGCUGGCACUCGUUCGACCCGUCGGUGGCCGCGGAGGACUCCGAGGAGAUGGCGCGGCUGCUCGGGGUACAGUUCUUCGGCAACGACCAGAAGCAGCAUCCGGCCGCGGCGCCGCCGUCGUCCAUGUACUGGCCUGGCCAGGAGGCUGCCGACCAGUACUACACCUCGGCGCCGUACUGCAUGCAGAUGCAGGAUCACGCCUCGGCCGGAGCGGGUUACUACAGCCACGGCUACUACGACGGCGAUGCCACUGCCAUGGCCGGUAACUUCUUCGUGGCGCCGGAGGAGCAGAUCAUGGCCGAUCCGGCUGGAUUCAUGGUCGAUCUGAACCUCCAGUUCGACGACCAGGACGACGGCGCCGGCACGUCGGCGGCGGCGUGCAAGAGGAAGUUCGGCGACCAGAACGGCACUCAGAGCGACGCGGUCACCGCCCCGAAGAAGAAGGCGCGCUCCACGGCACCACCGGUGCAGAGGAAGGGCAAGAGCAGCGCGCAGCCCAAGAAGGCUUCGAAGGGCUCGUGCAGCCGAGGCGCCCAGGAAGAGAGCAAUGGCGAGGCCACCAACAACGUGCAGAGCUCCAGCAACUACCUCUCCGACGAGGAGGGCUCGCUGGAGAUGACCUCCUGCAGCAACAUGAGCUCGGCGUCCAAGAAGACGUCGUCGUCGCGGGGUGACCACGGCGGCGGCGCCAAGGCGAGGGCCGGGCGCGGAGCGGCCACCGACCCGCAGAGCCUCUACGCCAGGAAACGUAGAGAAAAGAUCAACGAGCGGCUGAAGGUGCUGCAGAACCUCAUCCCUAACGGAACCAAGGUGGACAUCAGCACGAUGCUGGAAGAAGCAGUUCACUACAUCAAGUUCAUGCAGCUCCAGAUCAAGCUUUUGAGCUCGGAUGACAUGUGGAUGUUCGCGCCGAUCGCCUACAACGGCUUCAACGUCGGCCUCGACCUCAAGAUCGCGCCGCCGCAGCAAUGA